GGUGGCGCCAGGGGCCGCCUUCGGGCCCCGGCCGGGGGCACCGCGCCUGGGGCCGGUGUGAGGCACCGCGGGAGUGCCGGGCACUCCCGCCAGCCCGCGGCACCCCCUGCCAGCCCGCUGCCGCGGGUGACGAGCCAGCGACUGGGUAUCCCGCAGAGGCGUGUUCUGGAGCGCGGGUGUUGUGUUUGUACCGGCUUCCUGAGCCAGCUGUAAAGCUCCGGCGCAGACGGGCACGGGCAGGGCCGCCCGGCAGGGACCGGGGGUGGCUUCACCGCGCUCAGCCGUGGCUGGUGUGCUGGCCUGCACACCGGGGCCGUGGAAACCGCCACAAAACCCAGCUCCGCCCAGCGCGUCCAUCUCAGGCUGGGAGCAGGGCUACGCCAGGCGCUGACAGCCCUCACCGGGACGGCCCUUCGCUUGUGCAGCCACAAGUGCCAAAGACAAAACCACCACCGCAACCUGCGGCAGACACUGCGCUGCACUGAGAUGUUCAGAGCUGUGUUUCUCCUUCCGUGGCUUCCAUCUGCCGUACAGUAAGGUCCUUCAAAGGCUGUCUUUACUCUCACUGCCCUGUCCUGCUGCCCUUUGUUCUUCAGCUGCCCUCGUCCCUUUUGAUCCAUGAGGAGACUUUCAGAAUGCUGGGGAUUUAAUAAAUGGUAUUUAACAAAAGAACAGGUACGAAAGGUAAACACAGGCCUCAUGAACUGGUUUACUUUGUUUACUUAUUUGCUUACUUUACUUACAACUUUCAAAACAUAAAUCUUUUAAUCUUGUAGUCCAAACAGGUUGCCAUUUCAGUUGCCUCUUAGGCAACUUGGGAAUAGGAAAGGAGGGCAAAGGGAGGGGAAAAGGUAAGAAAAUCUGUCUGAGCUCUAGCAGCUUUGCUCGCUGGUGUUUUUGUGUACGUGUAUAUGUAUCCACAUGGGGGAAUCCUCAAACCCCAAGCAUUCGCAGCCGGGUAUGUUGGGGCUCCCUGCCUGCUGACUGCGCUGGCUGAAGCCGAAAGCAUUACACAAGUAUGUGCUGCUGUACCUCUGGGAGGAGGUGAGGAACAUCUCACUCGUGGCUGGUGAGUUAGCCAGGUGGCACUGAGUCCAAACACGUGUGGAACUCAGGAAACAAACUCAUUUUGACCAGAAAGGUUUUCCUUUCCACGGUCUCCUUGAGCCCACCAAUUACAACUAUUAGUUUUCGAUGAUCUGUACUAAGUACUUGUCUUUGUGUGAAACAUGGAUACCUUAUUAAUGUGAGAAAAGCCAGCCCCUUUGCUAGCCCUUUGGUAGAGGCAACUAAAGGAAAGGCUACCUGCAGGCCCCUGCUUCUCCCUAAGAUUACAGGAAUACAGGAGUAUUGCUGGUAACAGGAAUACCGACUACCGAAACUGAUCCUGAGCUUCUAAUCUCCACAUGUUCAGUUCUAGUUAAGUCAGGUUGUCCAGAUUCUAGGUUUGUAAGGUGGAGAAGCAAGAGGUGAUGUCUAGUCCUAUCAGGGAAUAAAAAUAAAAGGCUGGGGAACACUGAGAUGGCUCCAGCGCUUUGCAGUCCUUGGGGUGGAGUGGUAACGGCACUGUAGGGUGCUUGUAUCUCUAGGAGGCUGAUGGUAUGGAUAGUAAGAGUAAAAAGCCUGCUCUGCUGCUCUGCCUCCUGACACACCGGGCUCAGGGCACAUAGAGCCUUCCCACAUGGUGUCACGGAGUGGGAACCUGUCUGGCACUGUGGUGAAAUGGUCAAGUGCUGAAGAGAUGGUGAUGCCCCACCUGUGCCACAUCCCUGUUUGGACAGAGGUGGUGAUAGGUAAGACCUCCUCUGGGGGUCAGGAGAAAAGCUGUGGGUCCAGGACAUCCUCCCCAGGCUAACUGUGCUCAAUCUGAAGCCACUGAGACAAGUCAGACUGGUUCUGGUCAGCACAAAGGGGGGUGAUCUGGCAACUCUGAAGAAACAAACAGCACACUGUAAAAGACUGCUUGAAGAAAAUGAUCCAAACAGUGAAAACAGGGCUAGGCAGUUGGGAAACAGCAGGAAAAAGGUGCCUCAUCAGGAAGUUCAAAAGAACUGAAAGAGCACCCAGCACACUCCACCCUGUGCAUUCAUCCGCUAAGCAUGAGAAUGGGAUUGUGACCGUAUCCUAAAGAAAUACCUGGUUUUUUCCAACUGCAGGAUAAAUCACAGUAGAGGACAGCAUAUCCACAGCAGGAAACUACAAGCAGACUCUCACUGGCAAAGAAUCCUCUUUGUUUCUGCGCUGACACAAAUGGUAUCACACCACUUUUGUCCCAUACUCUUCCUAAUGUUGUAUGUGACUACAGUUGAAAGCACUCUCCUGGCAGCUGCUGUUCUCUGCAAUGUUCCCUAACACUGAAUUCCACUGUUCUGACUUACCUCCAGAGUGCAUUGCACAGACCUGCACAAUGUGAUGCUAAAAAAAUAAUAACAUUCUGUGCCUUCUGCUUCAGCAACAUGCCCAACCUUUUUCUUUCCCCCGUUUUAUUUACAGCUCAUCUCUGCUGUCCUGCCACUCAGCUAUUCAUCCACACAUUCAUAUCAUUCCAGCUUCCUUUGAAAUCAGUAGGUCACUCUUCACUACCUUCCUGGGCCAGCUAAAACCUCAGCUGUUAGAGAGCUCUUCUUAACUCACAUUUUGCCAUCAACACUGACUGCAACUGUGAUGUGCAUUUCAGUCUGUUCCAUACAGAAUUGCUUUCUUGAGAAGGAAUACAAAAAAGGGAUACAGACCAGUACAUGAGUGUCAUGAAGUUAGUUACCCAAAGGUUUUCCUUUCCUUUUUACUCUACUCUAUUUUUCAGCAGCUGCUGAAAAACUGGUAUUCAGUAAUAGAAACGCCUGGUAAUAUUGAGCUCCUGGAGACACGGAUGUUUUACUUACUGAAGAAGUGCCACUGCAGGUCUAAAUCACUUUGUAAAAAUAUUCACUGGUCUUUGCAGCGCUUCCAGGAAAACACAUACAAUUCCUUUCGUAGCCUCUCCUCCCUUUAUGUAGUUGUUGUUUAGUCCUUUUCAAUCAGAGAGAUGGAAGGAAAGUUUUGCACUUGAAAUUCAUCAUUGUCUUCCCUGUGGGCAUGUGGUGAUGUGCUCAUUGCAUCACCUCUCCUGCCUCUGAAUAUUUUAAAUGAAGUUGGCUUACAAAGUAAAUCUUGGAAAGGGGAGAGCAGGAACAGCUAUUUCCACUUCUGCUCCUGGUCACGUGCUGUGGAAUACUGUUUUUGAAACACAGCUGUUAACAUGGGCACAUCUGUCCAAGCUAGCGUGUGUCCAGAACUACUGGGCUGCAGCUACCAUAAGAAGUACCUGGUAAAGAAAGAGACACAACUGUUAGUGAAAGGGGUUCCUCACAGGGUGUGGUGGCACUGACAGGCAAACUGCCUGUUAGGCCUCUCAGAUUAAAAUGAAGCACUAAAUUAUCUCAUGUUUUUGAGUGUUUUAUUGUUUGAAGUAUUCUAUUUCAAAUUAUAAAUGUAUAAAUUUUAUAGUUUUUUCUUUACAGCCAAAUAAGAUUUAUUUUUUCAAGAGACAGAAAAUCGGCCAAACACUGCACUGAAAUCAGGUGUAAAUCUUGCUCUGUGAAGGAGAUAACCUGAACUCUGUCUAGGAACCACGCUGUGGGAUUCUGUGUGAGCAGAGCUGUGGGUGAAGAGCAGCAGGCUGGAGAGCACAGGUUUGUAUCACACACAGAUGACAGUGGUAAGUGAGGGGACAAGGGUGGCCACAGAGAGACCAGUUACUUGCAGUAAUUGCACAGUAGGAAUGAAUCCAGAGGGAGAUGGGUCAUGAGCCUCCUUCUUUGCCAAAAUAUAUUUUAUUACACUCUGAUAGGAGCAGGAAGGAGCCCCAUGAUCUCAGUAAUUUGCUUCAUCUCAGAUGAGGCAUCUGCUUCUCCCCUCUCAUAUAUGGAAAGAGAAACAGAUGACCUGAAAUGCCAGGGCUUUUUCACCAGCUUCUCUGAGAUACUUCAGAUCCACACAGCCAGGAUUGUCCAGGCUACCUCCCUGUGAUUCACUGCUAAUACACAGACACCUUUUCUGCAUGAAGCUAUGCUGGCAGUUUGCAGGUAUGUUAGCACGGUCACGAAACACUCCAACAGCCUGGAAAUCUGAAUGCUGUGGCAGCAUGAAACGAGUAGAAACAAAAGUUUCCUCCACCUUUAGGUAUAAAAUACAUGCAAACUAGUUUGAAAACUUGCAAAUUGCUAUAGCAGAAGAGUUAGCACAUAAUGAAAUACGUUCUUAAAAAUCACUGAAAUGCUGUGAAAAUUCAGGGCUGUAAACACCUGGGAUGCUUUAACUCCUACCUAGAAUACUUGGUACACAUUUCUCAUUGGGCUAGAAAAUGUUACUUCUUGUCACUGCUCUUCUAAACGCAACUUUUGAAGCACAACAGAAGUAUCUCCAACUAUCAUAGAAUCCCAGACUGGUUUGGGUUGGAAGGGACCUUAAAACUCAUCCAGUUCCAGCCCCCUGCCACGGGCAGGGACACCUUCCACUAGAGCAGGUUGCUCCAAGCCCUGUCCAACCUGGCCUUGCACUAUGGCCACUGUGGUUGUGGUUGAUUUUUGUGUGUGUAGUUCUGUUUGGUUGGUUGGUUUUGUGUUUUUAUUUUUAAUUAUAGAAGAGGCAUUUUUGGAGCCUGAGGUAAGGGCUGAUGCAGAAGCAGAGCCACGGGAUUACCAGAAAGAUGGAAAGGACAGUAUAUAGGAUGAAUCAUUAAAUAAUGAUGAUGUUCACUGUUGCUGGAGAUGGAUAUAAAGGAAUAUUAGUCAGUAAAAGGAAAAUAACAAUCAGUCAAGAGCAUGUGGUGAGCUUAUGGAGGAGGGAAAUGCACCUCCGGAGGGGAGGGGUGCUGGGCUGCACAGCUCCAGGACGGAUAUGCUCCUGGCCAAGGAUCAUGUACAGGGGAAGGGCUCACUUAGUCCAGCUGGGUCCAAACGUGAUGAAGCUCCGUGUCUGAAAGUCAGAUUGUUUCCUCAUCAAAAAGAUAAAACUGUAAUGAUUAAAUGAAUUAAUUUCCAGCUUUGGUUCACUGUGAUACCAUUGGUGAAUAACAGCCUCCUGACCCAGCACACCUGCACAGGCCUUCCUUUUUCAAUUUCCUGAGACAAACAAAUAAAGCCCAUUGCUUUGUCAAACACUUGCUAAUGUAUUAUGUAUAGCAGAAAUGAGAAGCUGUAGAGAGGAAGCGUUUUUCACUGCAUGCAGAACAUUUCACUUGUGUUAGAAUGAAUUCGCCCCAUCAAUCUUAUUAAAGACAGAUUAUUUUUUCCUUGCUCAUUAUAUUUACCUGUUUAAAUCACUAUAUCUAAAUAUGAAGGAGUAAAUGAAAGCUGAAGUUGUGCAUGUCAUUUUCCAAUGGAGCUGAUAAAUUGUGUGCUUGUGUGAUUUGUUUGAGCUGGCAGUGGCUUGUGAACCA